ensembl:lncRNA
ACAGCAAAAAGCAGAAAGUGAGCAGUGGGGCAAACUACGAGCAUUACGCAGAUUUCGACAAAAAGAGUGGUAAAAGCUCCAAUCCCUUCUUCCACCAAAGUAACUAGAUGGGCUAUCUCCGCUUACCCUAAAAGUUGAAUGAGAUUUCUACCAACACCUGGAGGAACCUAGGCACAUCAGCUCACCUUGUACUUCACCAGAGCUUUAAAAUGUCACCACCUUCUCUAACAGAAGACUGAACAAGAGCUGGGCUUCUUAAAGUGUGUUGCUUUUGGAAGACAUUUUGUGCCAAUAAAGUCUUCCUUUUCCCCUACGCAAACACAGUCUCCUGAGUUCCCUGGUCUCAGAUGUCUAGCCUUUUCCAAGCUAGUCUGGGCCCGUCCACAGAAGUCUGUCCCUUGGUUGGAUAUCAUAUUCUUUACAAGCUGUCAAAAUUUGCAUCAUGUGAAAGAAGUGACUCACCAAGGAGAUGUAAUUGCAGUGUAAGCCAAGAGGACGACUGUACAUACAGCGCAACGCAGCUCAGAUGUGACAUCCCUGCUGCCACUGCCACCAUCACCAUCACCGCCAUCACCACCAUCACCACUGUUAUUUGUCUUGAGUGGCUGUGAACUACAUUUUUGCCAAUCUGAAUGAAUUGUUUUUGUAAAUAACAACUAAAUUAACUUUGGUAUUUGAUUAGCACAGCAAAAGCCUUGAGCUGCUUAUUUUAUAAUCAUUCAAAUCACAUCUUUGAUCAGUAGCUUUAUCAUGACGUUUUCAUAAGCAAGAAUUUGCACAGCAUUUCUAAAAUUCAGAAUACUCAGCCAGUAUCGAUAUGAAUAUUAGAACACAAUCAGCAGCUGAAAACAUUUUACCCCCAUUUUACAGACGGGAAUGCAAGCACUACAUUGAAAGACUUCCACAGAACCACAUAUUAAGUUAUUAGCACAGCGUAUACGGCAAUUAUUUCUGUAAAAGUUAAGGAUAUGUUUUAUAGGGAAUAUAUAAAGCAUGUACAUGAAAUUAGGCAUGUUCGUAAUUACUGUGAUGACUCAAGGAAUGUUUCAGCAGGUGUGGAAGCAGAGUCACACCUACUGAACAGGAAAGGGAAUGUGAAAUUGCCUUUUUAUUAUCGUACCAGUUAGGCAAAAAGCCAUUUAGAAAAAUAUACACUAAAAUUUUCUGCCAAGUUAAAUACUUUCUACCACAUUAACUAUUAUUAAAAUAUCUAAGCAAAUCCCCAGGUAUCUUUAUUUUUCCUAAACAGGUACGAUACGCCUCCAGUGUACUGUGCAAUGCUAGUAAAUGGUUACGUACCUUCUGUUAUACAUGUACAUUACAGCACGGAGCCUACAACAGGACAUAUCUGGGUGUAGGAUUCUGUGUAUAUACUACCAGAGGAGCAAAUGAAUGUGCCUCGUGUUGGGUUUGCUGCUGUUAGGAACAACUAAGAACUCUUGCAGGGUUUGGCUGGGGUCCCCAGAGCCAGUAAUUCUCUGCUCCAGAGAGGAAGGAUCAAGGAGCACCGCUGUUAUUUUUCAGCUGGACCAAAGUCUCCAUUCAGCAACAUUUUCCAAAGUUAAAAAAUUUACUUCCAUCAAUUCUAAAUAUAUGUAGAGUUAAAUAUAGUAAACCUCAACUUGAAAAAUCACGGCUAAAGCUAACAUACACUUGGUCCCAGUCUGCACACCAGCUGUGGAUAAAAAUGUGCUGAAAAGUAGAACAUUUUGUCUCUUUUCAUUUAUCAAACAUUCAGUUGCAAACACACAGUCAUCUGUUUAAGAAGAGCUGAGAAUCUGUUAAAAUUAUUCAUUUGAUGGUUUUGUGAAUUUGAAUCACAAUUUUCUUCGGAAUUUAAAUUCUCAGGUAACUUUGCAGAUAGCGCUUUCAAUCACAAACCCUUCAUUACUGGAGGGUUGUUGUUUUUUUUAGUGCUGUUACACAUUUUCACAACAAUUUUUUAUUUAUCUGUUCAAAUAAUGAAUUAAUUCAGACAAGCAAGGUCAUCCUGCAAGUUGUAAAACAUAUCUGUAUCACAUCUGCGGAUCAAUGAAUCGCUCCAACAGUCACUACAGUAGUUAGGCAUAACACAUAGGUAGUGUGGAUUGCAAUAUAUUGUCAAUCUGUCAAGUCUUUGACAUUUUUGUAUUUCACAAGCAAGGAUAUAUAUAUGUUUGCAUGACUAAUUAAAUCCCUAAGAGUUCUGCAAUAAGACAACAGAGAACCCAGGUGG